rnacentral:rRNA from 1 species
ACUUUCAACAACGGAUCUCUUGGCUCUCGCAUCGAUGAAGAACGCAGCGAAAUGCGAUAAGUAGUGUGAAUUGCGUAAUUUUGUGAAUCAUCGAAUCUUUGAACGCAAAUUGCACUCCCUGGUAUUCCGGGGAGUAUGCCUGUUUGAGGGUC